rnacentral:rRNA from 1 species
UCCGUAGGUGAACCUGCGGAAGGAUCAUUAGUGAAUAAACUUGUGUGAGUUGUUGCUGGCCACCUCGGUGGUAUGUGCACGCUUGCUCAUUGUUCAAUUCAUCCCCUUCCACCUGUGCACUCAUUGUAGACCACACUGCUGCAUAUCAGGCAUGUGCUUGGCAUGAGGACCUGCCUUUAGGCUGUCCUUGGGUAGUGUUGGCCUAUGUUUUCAUCUACACCAAUUGUAUGUGAUUGAAUGUAUGUACUGGGUUCUUCACAGACCCAUAAACCUAAUACAACUUUCAACAACGGAUCUCUUGGCUCUCGCAUCGAUGAAGAACGCAGCGAAAUGCGAUAAGUAAUGUGAAUUGCAGAAUUCAGUGAAUCAUCGAAUCUUUGAACGCACCUUGCGCUCCUUGGUAUUCCGAGGAGCAUGCCUGUUUGAGUGUCAUUAAAUCCUCAACUCCAUCUCCCUUGUGGAUGAAUGGAGUUGGAUGUGGUAGCUGCUGGCUCACCGUCAGCUCUUCUCAAAUGCAUUAGCAGGGCCAUCAUAUGCAAGGCUGCAGCUUGGUAUUGAUAGUUGUCUUACCAGUUGUGGCCGAGUGAAGUGCUCAGCUUCUAGCAGUCUCACUGUCGAGACAAUGAUCAUGACGAUUUGACCUCAAAUCAGGUAGGACUACCCGCUGAACUUAAGCAUAUCAAUAAGCGGAGGAAAAGAAACUAACAAGGAUUCCCCUAGUAACUGCGAGUGAAGGCGGGGAAA